UACAGAGGUCUCAAGCGUUGUUCGGAUUCAUUGGGCGUAAAGGGUGCGUAGGCGGCCGUGUAAGUGUGGUGUGAAAUCUCCCGGCUUAACUGGGAGGGUGCGCUACAGACUGCAUGGCUAGAGUGUGGGAGAGGAAAGUGGAAUUCCUGGUGUAGCGGUGAAAUGCGUAGAUAUCAGGAGGAACACCGGUGGUGUAAACGGCUUUCUGGACCAUAACUGACGCUGAUGCACGAAAGCGUGGGUAGCAAACAGG
rnacentral:rRNA from 1 species